rnacentral:rRNA from 1 species
UGGGGAAUAUUGCACAAUGGGGGAAACCCUGAUGCAGCGACGCCGCGUGAGCGAAGAAGGUUUUCGAAUCGUAAAGCUCUGUCCUAUGAGAAGAUAAUGACGGUAUCAUAGGAGGAAGCCCCGGCUAAAUACGUGCCAGCAGCCGCGGUAAUACGUAUGGGGCGAGCGUUGUCCGGAAUUGUUGGGCGUAAAGGGUACGUAGGCGGUCUAUUAAGUCAGGUGUGAAAGCGUGAGGCUUAACCUCCUUAAGCACUUGAAACUGAUAGAGUUGAGUGAAGGAGGGGAAAGUGGAAGUCCUAGUGUAGCGGUGAUAUGCGUAGAUAUUAGGAGGAAUACCGGUGGCGAAGGCGACUUUCUGGACUUUUACUGACGCUCAGGUACGAAAGCGUGGGGAGCAAACAGG